GUGGUUUAAUUCGAUGCAACGCGAAACUUACCCACCUUUGACAUGGCAGGAAGGCUUCAGAGAUGAGGCUGUGCUCGAAAGAGAACCUGCACACAGGUGCUGCAUGGCUGUCGUCAGCUCGUGUCGUGAGAUGUUGGGUUAAGUCCCGCAACGAGCGCAACCCUUGCCAUUAGUUGCUACGAAAGGGCACUCUAAUGGGACUGCCGGUGACAAACCGGAGGAAGGUGGGGAUGACGUCAAGUCCUCAUGGCCCUUAUAGGUGGGGCUACACACGUCAUACAAUGGCCGGUACAAAGGGCUGCAAACCCGCGAGGGGGAGCCAAUCCAUCAAAGCCGGUCGUAGUCCGGAUCGCAGUCUGCAACUCGACUGCGUGAAGUCGGAAUCGCUAGUAAUCGUGGAUCAGCAUGUCACGGUGAAUACGUUCCCGGGUCUU
rnacentral:rRNA from 1 species